rnacentral:misc_RNA from 1 species
UGGUUCUGGCAUCGAUGAAGAACGCAGCGAAAUGCGAUAAGUAGUGUGAAUUGCAGAAUUCAGUGAAUCAUCGAAUCUUUGAACGCACAUUGCGCCCCUUGGUAUUCCAUGGGGCAUGCCUGUUCGAGCGUCAUUGAAACCUUCAAGCCUUGCUUGGUGAUGGGUGAUUGUCCCCGUUAAUCGUGUGGACUCGCCUUAAUUUAAUUGGCAGCCUCCAAUCUGGUUUUGAGCGCAGUACAUUUUGCGACUCUCACUGCGAAAGUUGGCAUCCAUCAAGCCUGUACACUUAUUUUGACCUCGGAUCAGGUAGGGAUACCCGCUGA